AUUAGGUCUCACAUCCACAUAAAAACGAGAUAAGGUCUCACAUCCACAUAAAACUUAAGGAAAACAAAAGAAUUGCAGCAGUAUGUUAACAACUUGAGCAUCUUACAGCCAAAUACCAAACUAUCAUGUCAUGAGGCAAGAGAUUCAUAAUUAUCUUUUCAAUCAAUAAGGACCCACUUACUAAACUCAAUCAAACUUGCCUACUUCCUCUAACCCAGCAAUGCAAUUCACCAACACCACAUCAUUGGU
rnacentral:misc_RNA from 1 species